UGCCCCUCCGACGUCCUGCCCGAGCAAGAGGGUGUUUGCCUGCCCCUGAGCAGGCACACAGUGGACAUGCUGCAGUGUCUGCGCUUCCCUGGCCUGGCCCCGCCACACACACGGGCCCCCUCCCCACUCGGCCCCACCCGAGACCCUGUGGCCACUUUUCUGGAAACUUGUCGGGAGCCUGGCAGCCAGCCAGCAGGACCCGCCUCCCUGCGGGCCGAGUACCUGCCCCCAUCUGUGGCUUCCAUCAAGGUGUCGGCGGAGCUGCUCAGAGCUGCCUUGAAGGACGGCCACUCAGUUAUGUUUUUUAAACCUAUAUAUGGAAGCGUAACCUAAAUACAGAAGAGUCACAAAGGAGCAAACUGUGAGCUUCACAGUGCGGGCACCCGGGGAGGGAGGCAGCUGCGCUCACCCCAAAGCCCCAGCACCGUUCAUCAGGCGUGCCCCUGUGCUGUGCCACCCUGCAGUGGCUCCUUGCUGAGAAUGCUGCUGUGGACGUCGUGAGGGCCCGAGCACUAUCUUCCAUCCAGGGAGUGGCCCCUGAUGGCGCCAACGUUCACCUCAUCGUCCGAGAGGUGGCCAUGACUGACCUGUGCCCAGCAGGGCCCAUCCAGGCCGUGGAGAUUCAAGUGGAAAGCUCCUCUCUGGCCGACAUUUGCAGGGCGCACCAUGCCGUUGUCGGGCGCAUGCAG
rnacentral:lncRNA from 1 species